GACGAACGCUGGCGGCGUGCCUAAUACAUGCAAGUCGAACGCAGUGGGGACGGGUGAGUAACACGUGGGUAACCUCCCAUCAUUGGUGAUAACACUUGGAAACAGGUGCUAAACCGAUACUGAUGGCUUGACCCGCGGUGCAUUAGCUAGUUGGUGAGGUAACGGCUCACCAAGGCCACGAAGCAUAGCGGACGUGAGAGAGGGAGCGGCCAAACUGAGACUGAGACACGGCCCAGACUCCUACGGGAGGCAGCAGUAGGGAAUCGUCGGAAAUGGACGAAAGUCUAACCGAGCAACUCAGCGAAAGAGAAGAAGGUUUUAGGAUCGUAAAACUCUGUUGUUAGAGAAGCGGUAACUAACCAGAAAGCCACGGCUAACUACAUGCCAGCAGCCGCGGUAAUUC
rnacentral:rRNA from 1 species